rnacentral:lncRNA from 1 species
AAAAAAAUAAAAAGUAUAACAACUAAAAAAAAAGAGCAGGUUUGAAUCCAACACUAUAAACAACCAUCAACAGAAAAUAUUUUUCUUAAAAAAUCAACAAAAAAAAAUACUUCACCCCAAGAAUAAGUCUAAGACACUCAAACAACUAUUGACUUAAACAAAUAAUAAAAUUCUCAGGUCAAAUAAAUAAAACACAAGAGUAAGGCAAAAAACUACUAAGAUACAAUUUGCAAACUGAAAAAAAAAACUUUU